rnacentral:rRNA from 1 species
GACGAACGCUGGCGGCGUGCUUAACACAUGCAAGUCGAACGAAGUGGCGAACGGGUGAGUAACGCGUAAACAACCUGCCCUUCAGAGGGGGACAACAGUUGGAAACGACUGCUAAUACCGCAUACUGAAGGAGGGGAUUGCGUCUGAGUAGCUAGUUGGAGGGGUAACGGCCCACCAAGCCGUUGAUCAGUAGCCGGUCUGAGAGGAGUAACGGCCACAUUGGGACUGAGAAACGGCCCAGACUCCUACGGGAGGCAGCAGUGGGGAAUCUGCCGCAAUGGACGAAAGUCUGACGGAGCAACGCCGCGUGAGUGAUGACGGCCUUCGGGUUGUAAAGCUCUGUUAAUCGGGACGCGGUACCGGAAUAGAAAGCCACGGCUAACUACGUGCCAGCAGCCGCGGUAAUAC